rnacentral:rRNA from 1 species
CCCUUAGAUGUUCUGGGCCGCACGCGCGCUACACUGAUGCAUUCAACGAGCCUAUCCUUGACCGACAGGUCCGGGUAAUCUUUGAAUCUGCAUCGUGACGGGGAUAGAUUAUUGCAAUUAUUAAUCUUCAACGAGGAAUGCCUAGUAGGCGCAAGUCAUCAGCUUGCGUCGAUUACGUCCCUGCCCUUUGUACACACCGCCCGUCGCUACUACCGAUUGAAUGGUUUAGUGAGGCCUUCGGAUCCGCGACUCGUUUUGUGGAGAAGUUGGACAAACUCAGUCAUUUAGAGGAAGUAAAAGUCGUAACA